rnacentral:rRNA from 1 species
AAUCAACGCUGGCGGCGUGCCUACCACAUGCAAGUCGAGCGAGAAAGGGGACUUCGGUCCCUGAGUAGAGCGGCGGACGGGUGAGUAACACGUGGGUAAUCUACCCUCGGGUGGGGAAUAACUCAGGGAAACCUGGGCUAAUUCCGCAUGAUAUUUCCGAUACAUACGUGUUGGAAAUCAAAGCUGGGGACCCUUCGGGGCCUGGCGCCUGGGGAGGAGCCCGCGGCCAAUUAGCUUGAUGGUGAGGUAAUGGCUCACCAUGGCUACGAUUGGUAGCCGGCCUGAGAGGGCGGACGGUCACACUGGGACUGAGACACGGCCCAGACUCCUACGGGAGGCAGCAGUGGGGAAUUUUUGUCAAUGGGGGAAACCCUGAACAAGCAACGCCGCGUGAAGGACGAAGACCUUCGGGUUGUAAACUUCUGUCGGAGGGGACGAAGGCAGUUAUGGUUAAUACCCAUGAUUGUUGACGGUACCCUACGAGGAAGCCCCGGCUAACUCCGUG